GUGCCUAAUACAUGCAAGUCGAGCGGAUUGAUGGGAGCUUGCUCCCUGAUAUCAGCGGCGGACGGGUGAGUAACACGUGGGUAACCUGCCUGUAAGAUCGGGAUAACUCCGGGAAACCGGGGCUAAUACCGGAUAAUUCAUUCCCUCGCAUGAGGGAGUGUUGAAAGAUGGCUUCUUGCUAUCACUUACAGAUGGACCCGCGGCGCAUUAGCUAGUUGGUGAGGUAACGGCUCACCAAGGCGACGAUGCGUAGCCGACCUGAGAGGGUGAUCGGCCACACUGGGACUGAGACACGGCCCAGACUCCUACGGGAGGCAGCAGUAGGGAAUCUUCCGCAAUGGACGAAAGUCUGACGGAGCAACGCCGCGUGAGUGAUGAAGGUUUUCGGAUCGUAAAACUCUGUUGUUAGGGAAGAACAAGUACCGUUCGAAUAGGGCGGUACCUUGACGGUACCUAACCAGAAAGCCACGGCUAACUACGUGCCAGCAGCC
rnacentral:rRNA from 1 species